GCAAGUAGAGUAUACAAAGGCGUUUGAGUUAACAAUCAUUAAGGAACUCGGCAAAAUGACACCGUAACUUAGGGAUAAGGUGUGCCAUCCUUCUUAAGUAAUAUUAAGUUAAGGAUAGGAGGCAUAGAGUGGUGUUGUACGACUGUUUAAUUAAAACAAAGCACUUUGCAUAAGAUGACAAAUCAAAGUAUUGAGUGUGAAUUCUGCCCGAUGUUGGCUGGUUAACGGAUUUUCUUAG
rnacentral:rRNA from 14 species